rnacentral:tRNA from 1 species
GGGAGUGUGGCUCAGUGGUAGAGUGCUUGCUUGGCAUGCAUGAAGCCUGGGUUCGUUUCCUCAGUACCA